GGUGGGGUACCGAAGUGGCCAACCGGGACAGACUGUAAAUCUGUUGUCAUACGACUUCGUAGGUUCGAAUCCUACCCCCACCA
rnacentral:tRNA from 1 species